AGCUUUGCGCAAUGGCAGUAUUGUAGCCAAUGAGGUUUAUUUGAGGUGCCUCAUUGCUAAUUGAAAACUUUUCACAAUACCCCACAGUGACAUCUUGCAAUAUGGUCAGCACUGGCAAUUUUUGAUGGUUCCUACGGGGA
rnacentral:snRNA from 1 species